rnacentral:rRNA from 1 species
CCUAGGGGCGGCAGCAGUGGGGAAUAUUGCACAAUGGGCGCAAGCCUGAUGCAGCAACGCCGCGUGCGGGAUGACGGCCUUCGGGUUGUAAACCGCUUUCAGCAGGGACGAAGUGAAAAUGACGGUACCUGCAGAAGAAGCACCGGCUAACUACGUGCCAGCAGCCGCGGUGAUACGUAGGGUGCGAGCGUUGUCCGGAAUUAUUGGGCGUAAAGAGCUUGUAGGCGGUCCGUCGCGGCGGAAGUGAAAACUCAGGGCUCAACCCUGAGCCUGCUUUCGAUACGGGCAGACUUGAGGGAUGUAGGGGAGAACGGAAUUCCUGGUGGAGCGGUGGAAUGCGCAGAUAUCAGGAGGAACACCAGUGGCGAAGGCGGUUCUCUGGACAUUUCCUGACGCUGAGAAGCGAAAGCGUGGGGAGCAAACA